rnacentral:misc_RNA from 1 species
GAUUCCUCUCCGCGCAUCGUCGUGCUCGCACUGUUUUUUUUUUUAAUGCCCGCAAAGAAGCGGCUCGUGCCACCCCUCCGGCCUAACGUCGAUGGUACCGCGUUUGUGCAGGCUUCCCGCGGCCGUGCGCCAGAUCGAAAUCGCUUUUCUCGACCUCACAAGCUCGCCGACUCUACCAGCAGCUCGAGCACUUCGACCUCCUCGUCGGCGUCCUCCAGUUCUUUGAGAGCUGCGGAGCCGGCGGUGCCAUCUCACGGUCCGGCAUGUCGGCUGAAAGCGAGGUGCGAGAGCGAAAGCGCUCGUGUUGCAGCGCUGAUGCCGCCCCAACGCGAGGCGCGCAACACUACCAAAGCAGAUGAUCUCAAAAGUCGCCCUCAGACCGCAGAUACGAAGCGCAGCAUCGCGGUUAACCAGGCUCUCUCUUCUCCCGCGUUAACUACCGCUCCUGCGGCUGCCAUAAAGUCGCUGCCGUCAGCGUCACCGGAGACCGGCUCACCCAAGAACAAAGUAAAGCAGUGCAUGGCGCCCAUACCCGCCGCUGCUUUGUUGUCCGUUCCGCAGGGCCAUUCCAACGUGCCUUCGGGGACGGGCCGUGAUGUGGCCCCGACCAUGUUUGCCAUUAGCGUGGAUGGAGCUCUCGGGCCGAGCGAGUGUCUUCUCGCCACCCGCGUAAUGCACCGCCUUGGACUGCAGAGCGGACACAUUGUGCACCUCUGGACAAGCUACGGGGACGUGUACGCGGGAGUGCGACCGAUGCGCGGGUCCGCUGUUGCACCCGACAAGAUCUUCGUGAACGAUGAUGCGGCGGCUGUUUUGGUCGACGUCUCGUCUGUCGCAAUUUGUCCGGUUCUUCUCCCUCUGAAUGGUAUACCGACGUUGCGGUCCGUGACGCUGGCGAUGGUGGUCCCCGAAAACGCGCGUGACGCCGACACGGCUGAUGCUAUCGUGCCGUCGAUCGCAUCUACAGUAGAGUGGCAGGCGCUGUUCCGCCGCACACUGCACCACAAGAUCGGGUAUGUGCACCUACGCAUCACCCAACGUGUGCUGACCCAUCGCAUCACGCUGGAGGUGAUGGACUUGAGCGUUGCUUGUGGAGAGCGAGAACGGCCGACGCAGGCGGCCGAGCCCGCAGCUGCUUGGGGAAUCGUGACGGAUGCGACGGAGGUGCGCCUUUGUAGCAGUGGCGGUGCGGCAGAGACCUUAAGCGGCGCGCCGCAGCGUGCAUCAACUCCGAUCACAGAUGGCACGGCUGAGGAGCAUCAGUACAGCGGCGCCUCUUCCUUUGGGUUCUUGUGCACCCUCGUAGUGGGGGACGUUGGCGUCGGUAAGAGUCGCUGGCUCGCCUGUCACGCCUCCGCAGCGUCCCGGGCAGAGCAUCAAGGACGCAUGGACGGACCCACUUCUUCGGCCGCCGCGACUGGGCCUACGAGGUACAUAGAGUGGGUUCACGUGGACCAACUGCCGCAGGGUGAGGGUAGUGAGGUGAGCACAGCCACGGCGUUGCACGAGGUGUUUGAGCGCGCGCGCCAGUCAGCGCCGGCGACGGUGGUCAUGGAUGAUUUGCAUCUUAUCUGCGCCCGCGAGGCGUCCUCUGCCGGGUCUCGGUGGGCGAUGUCCCUCAUCGCCCAUGCCGUGGCUGCUGAGCUGCUCGACUUGCAGAGCCGCCGUCUCGAUGUGCAAGUGGUUGCGAGUGCGCCGGCACUGGCGAGUCUCGACGCAUGUCUAACCAGUGCCACUCUCUUUGGCGGGAGCGUUGUGUCGCUGGAGAUGCCGAGUGGCGCGCAGGAGCGGCUCGCAUGUCUUCGGACGUGCCUCUCGGAGCUGUGCCGUGGCGGUGCAGCGGCAGGGCCUGCCGUCAGCGACGACUGCCUACUGGAGGUGGCAGAGCGCGCACACGGCUUCACACAACGCGACCUGCAUCGACUCGUCGAGACAGCAGUGGUGCGAGCGUUCCAAGCGCGUCAGUCAACCGAGCCAACGGAGGCGGACCUUCGCGCGGCGUCGGCUGCGGUGCAUCCUUCGUCGCUCAAGCGCUUCGAGGUGUCGAUUCCCAAUGUGACGUGGGCCGACAUCGGCGGAAGCGCAGAGGCGAAGCAGACCCUCUGUGAUGUUGUGGACUGGUGCCUGGGAAAGCACAGUUGGGUCUUUACAGAGUUCAACGUGACCCCACCAAAGGGUGUGCUCCUCUACGGCCCGCCGGGCUGCAGCAAGACGAUGCUAGCCAAGGCGCUGGCGAACGAGAGUCAUAUGAACUUCAUCUCCGUGAAGGGGCCGGAGGUGUUCUCGAAGUGGGUGGGCGAUAGCGAGAAGGCGGUGCGCGACAUCUUCGAGCGUGCCCGUGCGGCGAGCCCGUGCGUCGUGUUCAUCGAUGAGUUGGAUGGCAUGUGCGGCCACCGCGGUCGCGGCGGCGUAUCGGACCGCGUAAUCUCGCAGUUCCUCACCGAGCUGGAUGGGUUGCCGGCCGCCUUUGACGAAAAGAAGAACGCACUCGUGUUUGUGGCGGCGACAAAUCGUCCAGACAACAUCGACGGCGCGGUGCUGCGUCCCGGACGCAUUGACCGUCGCGUCUACGUCGGGCUGCCCACCUUACCAGAGCGGUGCGCCAUCACGAACAUCCAAUUCCAGCACCUGCCAGUGGCGGCGGAGCUCACGGCUAACUACGUGGCAGAGCGGACAGAUGGCUACACCGGUGCCGAGGUCGUUGCAGUGGUGAAAGAGGCCGCGUUUCACGCCAUCACAGCUAACGCGCAUGCGUCUCAUGUGACGGUGGCCGACGUCGACGCGGCCCUGCAGAAAGUGCGACCACGCAUCAACGCAGAAGAUGUGGAGUGGUACAAGCAGUGGCCGCACAACAAGAAAAGCUCCACUGCGCAGAUGUGAUCGUGAACUCCGUCCUCAUGGGCCGCGCGUGCGUUCGCCAUCUCUCUCAUUUGGUCUGGCAGCGGCCGUGGUGCGCGCGGAUCGAGGCGCGCGGCCUCUAAGUUAUGAUGCGGAUAUGGGGAGAGGUGCGCUCCUGUUUUCGCACCGCCGUCUGCGUGUUUGCUUGUUUCUCCUUUAUAACGUCACAGUUGCGCGUAACAGCUGCCAAGCACGAGGCAGCCCUAAUAAGGAGCCAUGAGGAACUCCCGUAAACUGCACUAGCGCCAUAACAACGGCUGCCGCAUACUGCCCGCUUCUCCUUUGUGGGCAUCCCUACGUGAGCGUGUUGGCUUUACGUUUUUGCACGUCUGGAGCAGCAAAUGUUGCGCGGCGAAGGUGGCACUGAC